GCCGCGUGAGUGAUGAAGGUUUUCGGAUCGUAAACUCUGUUGUUAGGGAAUAACAAGUAUCGGAGUAACUGCCGGUACCUUGACGGUACCUAACCAGAAAGCCACGGCUAACUACGUGCCAGCAGCCGCGGUAAUACGUAGGUGGCAAGCGUUGUCCGGAAUUAUUGGGCGUAAAGCGCGCGCAGGCGGUCCUUUAAGUCUGAUGUGAAAGCCCACGGCUCAACCGUGGAGGGUCAUUGGAAACUGGGGGACUUGAGUGCAGAAGAGGAGAGUGGAAUUCCACGUGUAGCGGUGAAAUGCGUAGAGAUGUGGAGGAACACCAGUGGCGAAGGCGACUCUCUGGUCUGUAACUGACGCUGAGGCGCGAAAGCGUGGGGAGCGAACAGGAUUAGAUACCCUGGUAGUCCACGCCGUAAACGAUGAGUGCUAAGUGUUAGAGGGUUUCCGCCCUUUAGUGCUGCAGCUAACGCAUUAAGCACUCCGCCUGGGGAGUACGGCCGCAAGGCUGAAACUCAAAGGAAUUGACGGGGGCCCGCACAAGCGGUGGAGCAUGUGGUUUAAUUCGAAGCAACGCGAAGAACCUUACCAGGUCUUGACAUCUCCUGACAAUCCUAGAGAUAGGACGUUCCCCUUUUAGGGGACAGGAUGACAGGUGGUGCAUGGUUGUCGUCAGCUCGUGUCGUGAGAUGUUGGGUUAAGUCCCGCAACGAGCGCAACCCUUG
rnacentral:rRNA from 1 species